rnacentral:rRNA from 1 species
UACAGAGGGGGCUAGCGUUGUUCGGAAUUACUGGGCGUAAAGGGCGCGUAGGCGGCUUGUUAAGUCAGGGGUGAAAUCCUGGAGCUCAACUCCAGAACUGCCUUUGAUACUGGCGGGCUUGAGUCCGGGAGAGGUGAGUGGAACUGCGAGUGUAGAGGUGAAAUUCGUAGAUAUUCGCAAGAACACCAGUGGCGAAGGCGGCUCACUGGCCCGGUACUGACGCUGAGGUGCGAAAGCCAGGGGAGCAAACGGG